AGCAGCCGCGGUAAUUCCAGCUCCAAUAGCGUAUAUUAAAGUUGUUGCAGUUAAAAAGCUCGUAGUUGAAUUUCGGGAUCAGUAUGUCGGUCGUGCUUCGGUACGUACUGUCAUUACUGGUUUCUCCCUUCUGACGAACCAUGAUGUCAUUAAUUUGGUGUCUUGGGAAAUCAGGACUGUUACUUUGAAAAAAUUAGAGUGUUUAAAGCAGGCAUACGCUUGAAUACAUUAGCAUGGAAUAAUGAAAUAGGACGUUUGAUUCUAUUUUUGUUGGUUUCUAGGAUCGACGUAAUGAUUAAUAGGGAUAGUUGGGGGCAUUAGUAUUCAAUUGUCAGAGGUGAAAUUCUUGGAUUUAUUGAAGACUAACUACUGCGAAAGCAUUUGCCAAGGAUGUUUUCAUUAAUCAAGAACGAAAGUUAGGGGAUCGAAGACGAUCAGAUACCGUCGUAG
rnacentral:rRNA from 1 species